rnacentral:lncRNA from 1 species
GGGCUGCGCGCAUGCGAGCGAGCUGCGCCCUUGCGGGCGGGCACUGCCCCUGCCCGCAGGUGGCCUGCCCGUGAACGCGUUGCACACGGGCGCUGCUCUUGCUGCGAACGGCUUGCUCGCGGGCGCUGCCUCGACGAACAAGUGGCUCCUCCGUAACUUUCGUGCACAUGCCGCCUUUGUUGAUCCAUCAACAGCAACCGUUGUCACUCCUGUUUCCUUAGUUUAUGUCAAC